rnacentral:rRNA from 1 species
UUCGCAAUGCCCGAAAGGGUGACGAAGCGACGCCGCGUGUGGGAAGAAGGCCUUCGGGUUGUAAACCACUGUCGGGAGUUAAGAAAUGCAAGGGUGCUAAUAGUAUCCUUGCUUGACUAAGGCUCCGGAGGAGGCCACGGCUAACUCUGUGCCAGCAGCCGCGGUAAUACAGAGGCGGCAAGCGUUGUUCGGAAUUAUUGGGCGUAAAGAGCACGUAGGCGGCUAUGUAAGUCGGUUGUGAAAGCCUUCCGCUCAACGGAAGAACAGCAUCCGAUACUGCAUGGCUUGAGUGCGGGAGGGGGGAGUGGAACUUCUGGUGGAGCGGUGAAAUGCGUAGAUAUCAGAAGGAACGCCGGCGGCGAAAGCGGCUCUCUGGCCCAUAACUGACGCUGAGUGUGCGAAAGCUAGGGGAGCGAACGGGAUUAGAUACCCCGGUAGUCCUAGCCGUAAACGAUGGGCACUAAGUAGAGGGGUUUU